GAUGAAGAACGUAGCGAAAUGCGAUAGGUAAUGUGAAUUGCAGAAUUCAGUGAAUCAUCGAAUCUUUGAACGCGCAUUGCGCCCUUUGGUAUUCCUUAGGGCAUGCCUGUUCGAGCGUCACUACACACCUUAUCACAAUAUUUGUGGUCUUGGCAGGAGUGAAUUGCUGGUCUAUGGAAGUAUUCCAGCAGUACACAAUGCUAAAAAAUAUGGGAAGGUUACCAGAUAUGAACAACAGACUUUGUAAAUGGUUGUAGGACCUAGAUCAGUCACAAGUCAUGUCUGGUCCCUUACCUUAAGGACCCCCAUCCUAGAUGAACUAUGGGUUGACCUCGGAUCAGGUAGGAAUACCCGCUGAACUUAAGCAUAUCAAUAAGCGGAGGA
rnacentral:misc_RNA from 1 species